rnacentral:lncRNA from 1 species
AAGACAGAAGCCAGUCCCUCCCUCGGGCAGACUAUGAAAAGCCUGGAUACAUUAGAUGCAUACUUCCCUCUCUCUUUUUCCUUCAGGGAGAUGUUACAAGACAAGAUGAUUUCACUGGAAGCUGAGUUUUGCCAGCUUUGGGGAAAUGCUGAUGCAGAACAUCAUUUAUUUAAGGCUGAUACUCAUGGAUAGAAGAGUCAAAGUGCGAAUAUAUGCACCCUUCUAUACGGAUUCUGCAGAAAGAUAUGCUUGGGUCAUGACUCAGGUGAAUUUCCUAUGAAACUUUGUCUUUGGUAAAGCAUCCCAUUCUUGGCUGUUCCAUAUAUAUAUAUAUGGGUAUAUUUCUUCCUCUUAAAGUGUACCUUCCCUGGAGCUUCAGCCUAAUGCCUGAGGUCCUCAGUGAGGUCCCUCCAUUCUUCCUAUCUAAGCUGAAACUUCAACAUCUUCAGGAGUGUGUGACACCUGGAAUUUACCUCUCAAUAAAAAUUUUAAACUUCCAACUAAAGAGAUUUCCAAGACCAAAUAGCUUCACGCAUGAAUUCUAUUAUGCAUUAAAUGAAGAAGAAAUAAGAAUCUUAAAUGAAUUCUUAAGAUGAUAAAAAGAUGAAAUAUUAGCCACUUACUAUAUGUGGUGAGCACAAACUUGAUAGCAAAUAUUAACCAUGAUGUGAAGAUUACCAAAAAUUGAAGUUCAGGUAUGAGCACAGAUGCAGAAAUCCUAAACAUAAACAAAAUAAUAAACACCCUGAAUAUAAUAAAAUAAUACAUCAAGACCAAUCUGUAUUUUCUCAAUUAAUACAAGUUUGGUUCAAAAUUUUAAAAUCAAUCAAGGUAAUCUCAGUAGAUACAGAAAAAUAGUUUGUUAAGAUUUAACACCCAUUAAAAAAUUUUAAAGUCUUAUCAAACUGAGAAUGCAAUGGAUCUUUUGAAUGUAAUCAUGGGUAGAGAAAGACAAACAAAAAUAUUGCACUAUAAUUUUAAAGUAUAUCAUGAGGUCAGCAUAGAAACCAGUAUUUUCACAAUGUUAUCGCCAUUUCUAUUUACCAUUGUAGUAGAAGCCCGAGCAAGUGCAACAAUGCAAAAAAAGAGUUUUAAAAUUUAGAUGAAAGAUCACAUACAUAGAAAAUUAAAAAGAUCAUCAAUGAUGUUGGGCACCUUUUCAUAUGCCUGCUUGCCAUUUGUAUGUCUCUUCAUUAUUUUUUUUUAUUUCUUCUAAAAAAAAUGGGACACGUGCAGAACGUACAGGUUUGUUACAUAGUUGUACAUGUGCCAUGGGGAAAUGCAAAUCAAAACUACUCGGAGAUAUCAUCUCAUCCCAGUUAAAAUUGCUUUUAUCCAAAUCUCUUGUAUAAAAGAUAGGCAAUAACAAAUGCUAGCAAGGAUGUGGAGAAAAGGAAACCCUUGUACACCAUUGGUUGGAAUGUGAAUUAGUACAACCACUAUAGAGAACAAUUUUGAAGUUCCUCAAAAAACUAAAAACUGAGCUACCACAUGCACCAGCAAUCCCACUGCUGGAUAUAUCCAAAAGAAAGGGCAUCAGUAUAUUGAAGAGAUAUCUGUACUCCUAUGUUAUUUGCAACACUGUUUACAAUAGAUAAGAUUUGGAAGCAACCUAAGUGUCCAUCAGUAGAUAAAUGGAUCAAGGAAAUGUGGUAAUUAUACACAAUGGAGUACUAUUCUGCCAUAAAAAGAAUGAGAUCUAGUCAUUCGCAACAACAUAGAUGGAAUUGAAGAUCAUACUGUUAAGUGAAAUAAGCCAGGCACAGAAAGACAAACAUUGCAUAUUCUCACUUAUUUGUAGGAACUAAAAAUCAAAACGAUUGAACUCGUGGACACACAGAGUAGAAGGAUGGUUACCAGAGACUGGAAAGAGUAGUUGGGGGUUUGGGGGGAGGUGGAAAUGGUUAAUGGGUACAAAAAUAUAGUUAGAAAGAAUGAGUAAGACCCACUAUUGGUAGAACAACAGGGUGACUAUAAGCAAUAAUAACAAUUGUACAUUUUAAAAUAAUUUAAAAAGCGUAAUUGGAUUGUUUGCAACUCAAAGGAUAAAUGCUUGAAUGGAUGGAUACCCCAUUCUCCAUGAAGUGCUUAUUCCCAUUGCAUUUCUGUAUUAAAACAUCUCAUCUACCCCGUAAACGUAUG